GGGCGUGUUGUAUAGUGGCAGUACAGGGGUCUCCAAAACCUCUAGCGGGGGUUCGAUUCCCUCCACGCCUG
rnacentral:tRNA from 1 species